ACACAAACGCUGCUAAUUUAAUUUAGUAGAGGAAAGUCCACGCUCACACGUACCUGUAACGGACGUAGUGUUCAUGCAAAGGGAAAAAAUAACCUUUGGUAGGUAUUUUACCUAACGGCGCCGAGGUAACCUAUAGUUCUUUAGAAUAUGGUUAUAUUAGGCAUAAAGUGCCAAAGAGACGAGCUAGGUGGGAAACUAUCUAGGUGGAACGUUGGUAAACCCCAUGAGUGAGAAACCCAAAUUUGGUAGGGGAAUCUUUAUGAAGGAAUAAAAACGGAUUAAAGGAUGCUAAACUUUUAGCAUAGAUAAAUGUUUGUGACCAGACUAUCUGGUACAGAACGUGGCUUAUU
rnacentral:RNase_P_RNA from 1 species